AUUGAGAGAGUGACAGACUGUACACAGCUGUAACUACUGCGCGUAGCAAGCUGUGUGACAUGUAGCGCGCUAGGGGAGUGUAGGGGAGUGCUGAAAGAGUGACAGACUGUACACAGCUGUAACUACUGCGCGUAGCAAGCUGUGUGACAUGUAGCGCGCUAGGGGAGUGUAGGGGAGUGCUGAGAGAGUGACAGACUGUACACAGCUGUAACUACUGCGCGUAGCAAACUGUGUGACAUGUAGCGCACUAGGGGAGUGCUGAGAGAGUGACAGACUGUACACAGCUGUAUUUACUGCGCGUAGCAAGCUGUGUGAUAUGUAGCGCGCUAGGGGAGUGUAGGGGAGUGCUGCGAGAGAGUGACAAACUGUACACAGCUGUAACUACUGCGCGUAGCAAACUGUGUGACAUGUAGCGCGCUAGGGGAGUGUAGGGGAGUGCUGAGAGAGUGACGACUGUACACAGCUGUAACUACUGCGCGUAGCAAACUGUGUGACAUGUAGCGCACUAGGGGUGUAGGGGAGUGCUGAGAGAGUGACAGACUGUACACAGCUGUAUCUACUGCGCGUAGCAAGCUGUGUGACAUGUAGCGCGCUAGGGGAGUGUAGGGGAGUGCUGAGAGAGUGACAGACUGUACACAGCUGUAACUACUGCGCGUAGCAAGCUGUGUGACAUGUAGCGUGCUAGGGGAGUGUAGGGGAGUACUGAGAGAGUGACAGACUGUACACAGCUGUAACUACUGCGCGUAGCAAGCUGUGUGACAUGUAGCGCGCUAGGGGAGUGUAGGGGAGUGCUGAGAGAGUGACAGACUGUACACAGCUGUAUCUACUGCGCGUAGCAAGCUGUGUGACAUGUAGCGCGCUAGGGGAGUGUAGGGGAGUGCUGAGAGAGUGACAGACUGUACACAGCUGUAUCUACUGCGCGUAGCAAGCUGUGUGACAUGUAGCGCGCUAGGGGAGUGUAGGGGAGUGCUGAGAGAGUGACAGACUGUACACAGCUGUAUCUACUGCGCGUAGCAAGCUGUGUGACAUGUAGCGCGCUACGAGGAAUGUAGGGGAGGGCCGAGAGAGGACUCCAAAAAUUAUUAUGACAAUUAAAUUUAAAAUGAAUGUUGAACACUUUUGAAAAUCAUACAAUUGAUACAUUGUACACAUUUCUGUCUGUCGGUCAGUCCUCUAGUUGCUCUAUUUGCUCGUUCCAAAGUGUAGAUUCCUAUGGAGAAGAACGAGCAAGAAACUCCAUAGGUUAUUUUAAAAUUUCAUUAUGGCUCGGAUUAUGAUUUAAAAAGUCAAAAUUUUGACCUCACUCAUUUGGUACAAGGCGAUAUUUUCGCCUAAAAAUAUAUAAAUAUGCAUAUAUUCACUUACUUUUAAGCCUCUUAUGUGCAAACUUUACAUAGUCCUUUUUAUGUAU